rnacentral:rRNA from 1 species
UGGGGAAUUUUGGACAAUGGGCGAAAGCCUGAUCCAGCAAUGCCGCGUGUGUGAAGAAGGCCUUCGGGUUGUAAAGCACUUUUGUCCGGAAAGAAAUCCUUGGCUCUAAUACAGUCGGGGGAUGACGGUACCGGAAGAAUAAGCACCGGCUAACUACGUGCCAGCAGCCGCGGUAAUACGUAGGGUGCAAGCGUUAAUCGGAAUUACUGGGCGUAAAGCGUGCGCAGGCGGUUUGCUAAGACCGAUGUGAAAUCCCCGGGCUAACCUGGGGAACUGCAUUGGUGACUGGCAGGCUAGAGUAUGGCAGAGGGGGGUAGAAUUCCACGUGUAGCAGUGAAAUGCGUAGAGAUGUGGAGGAAUACGAUGGCGAAGGCAGCCCCCUGGGCCAAUACUGACGCUCAUGCACGAAAGCGUGGGGAGCAAACAGGAUUAGAUACCCUGGUAGUCCACGCCCUAAACGAUGUCAACUAGUUGUUGGGGAUUCAUUUCCUAGUAACUAGCUAACGCGUGAAGUUGACCGCCUGGGGAGUACGGUCGCAAGAUUAAAACUUAAAUGAAUUGACGGGGUCAUAGCUGUUUCCU